rnacentral:rRNA from 1 species
AGCGAACGCUAGCGGAUGGCUUAACACAUGCAAGUCGAGCGGGUAGCAAUACCAGCGGCGAACGGGUGCGUAACACGUAGGUAAUCUGCCUUUUGGUGGGGAAUAACACAACGAAAGUCGUGCUAAUACCGCAUAUGGCCCAAGGGUCAAAGCAGCAAUGCGCCAAGAGAUGAGCCUGCGGCCCAUUAUUUAAUCCUAGUUGGCGGGUAACGGCCCACCAAGGGUACGAUGGGUAGCUGGUCUGAGAGGACGAUCAGCCACACUGGGACUGAGACACGGCCCAGACUCCUACGGGAGGCAGCAGUGGGGGAAUAUUGCGCAAUGGGCGAAAGCCUGACGCAGCCAAUCCGCGUGGGUGAUGAAGGCCUUCGGGUUGUAAAGCCUG